ACUACAUUAUUAGUCAUAAUGCAUGAGAGCAGAUAAGAUCGGCCCUCGCAGGAAUUAGUUAAAAUAAUCCUAUCUAUCUUCUGAAUCUGCUUCCAUUUAAGCUCUCACCCUUCCAACACUUCUCCUUGAUUCUUUCCCCUUGAUAAGAAUCCACUCUCGAUUGCUACCAUUCCAAAUUCAAGCUUCUUACGAGAGAUUCGUUCAUUGCUUCUUUUUUUUUUCCUUUCAUUUUAUACGGCAUACAGCACCAGACUUUCCUUCAUGGGCAUGGCAAUUUUUCCAUAAAAAUUCGUUUUCUAUUUCCUCUCUUUUUUUAAUUUUUUUAUUUGGGUCUUUUCGAUCACUUUGAUUGAAAGACCUUUUUCUUCUUGGUUAGUUUUUGUUAGAAAUAUUUGUUGAUGAAAUUCAAAUCCACAACCUCUCCCAGCUGUUCCUUUCAUACCUUUUUAACUACUAGAUCAAUCUUAUAUAUCCUUUGAGGAUUGCACAUUUGAUUGGCUUUACUGGUCCCAAGCACGUGAGCCUUACUCCCCUGAUAGGGUUGAUUAUAUCAAAUCUCUGGAUGCGGAGAAAGAUACAAUUUUAUUGAAGAAAGGGGUUGACAGAGGCCUCACUCCCUAUGAAAUUGGAAGCAUUAUGUCUAGGGAAAAUUUGAACAAGGAAUCUGUAAUCGACGAGAUUAUUUGUGAAGUCCAAGAAUCAUUGCUACCUGGCAUGGAGGAAUAUGUGUUUCUUGAAUCUGUCUCCCAGAUCAUGGAUUCCCGCUUGAUAAGCUUUCAAAAUAGACUCUCUGGGAUUCCUAGUUAUAUUAUAUAAUAACAAUAAUAUAUAUUUGGAUGUAUUAAGUGAAUACUAUAGUCCAUAUUUGGAUGGACUGCACAGGCUAUUUAAAGUGGGGUUAGCUAGGUGCGUUCUGGACAAUAUAGGUCUUGAAGCUCUUGCUCCUCUCUCAUUCAUACACUUCCGUGAACUGUUUUUCAGAAUUUUAUUGCCAUGUGGAACAGAAGUUAAAAGGUUCUGAUAAGAUGUGUUUUCCACUAAGAUUUUUAUGUAUUUUAGGUUUGUGUGAGGGUUAACACAGGAGUUGGAUGGAUACCUUGUGUAUAGUUGUAAUAUGUUUAGAAGCUUCAUAAGGGGCAUUUUACUCAUAAAAAUAUAUUAUUGAUGCCUGCUAUUUAUUAGGCAUUUUUACUCA